CCUACGGGAGGCAGCAGUGGGGAAUAUUGGACAAUGGGGGAAACCCUGAUCCAGCGACGCCGCGUGAGUGAAGAAGUAUUUCGGUACGUAAAGCUCUAUCAGCAGGAAAGAAAAUGACGGUACCUGACUAAGAAGCCCCGGCUAACUACGUGCCAGCAGCCGCGGUAAUAUGCAGGGGGCAAGCGUUAUCCGGAUUUACUGGGUGUAAAGGGGGCGUAGACGGCAGCGCAAGUCUGGAGUGAAAUGCCGGGGCCCAACCCCGGAACUGCUCUGGAAACUGUGAAGCUGGAGUGCAGGAGAGGUAAGCGGAAUUCCUGGUGUAGCGGUGAAAUGCGUAGAUAUCAGGAGGAACACCGGCGGCGAAGGCGGCUUACUGGACUGUAACUGACGUUGAGGCUCGAAGGCGUGGGGAGCAAACAGGAUUAGAUACCCGGGUAGUC
rnacentral:rRNA from 1 species